UGAGUGAGCCCAGGAUGGGCACAUUUGUCUGGUUUUAUUAGGCACAGCUUUUAACUGCAAAGUUGUGUGAACUUGCUGCUGGACAGAACCUGAGGCACUUUGACAUUGUGCAAGUGUCUUCUCCUACAGAGGGACUUAGGCUGAGAUGACUCGAAGGAAAUAGUACCAUCUGGAUGGAUGUGAGGAGUUAUUUGCAAUACUGAGAUACCAUUCUAGAGUUCAAUCUGGAUACUGUAAGCCAUAACAUUUUUGCAGUGUAGAGGCAAUUACAGCAACUGGCCUCUCUCAUGAGAGAAGAAUUUACAACCUAUUAGUGUUUUCUUAAUUGCUGAUACAAGUUCCCCUGUCUCUCUUCAUUCUUCUGUCUGUGUGCUUGUACUUGCUUGAAAUCCACGUUUUUUGCCCCAGGUUGUUGACAGCGCUGUUGGCAAGAUUAGAUUCUGGUGUACAACAACUGCUAUUAGAGCAAAUAUGCACAAUAUUGUUCAUCUGACUUCUAGGAAGGUGCAUCAAUAAAAUUGUAAAGGGGAAGAAUGUUGUACAAAUGAUUCAUCAUUUGCAGAGAUGAUUAUAUAUCUUGUCUUCCUCAGAGUCCUCCUAAACUUGUGAGUGAAUGUCUGGCAUUCUCUUGAUUAAAGAGGAAUCCUGCUAAAAUAAAAGGCAUAAAGCUAAGAAUGUAUGCCAUUAAAGUUGUAAUCCAGUGAUCACAGAAAAGUUAGUUCUUGUAGAUUAAUCUCUGUGCAAGCUGAAGAGACAAUUUUGUUUUCAUUUCAGCUGGAGAUCUUGUGUUACUUCAACCAGUUCACUUAUCUGCAGCCUUUUUCCAAAGAGUGGAGUAAAAAUAAUGUUUUCUGUUUCCUUCUGUAAUUUUGAUGUAAUUUGUAAAUUCUCUGGGCUAGUGAUUUCUCUUUACCGUGACCAGGUCUGCACUCAUUUCUUGUGUCACAUAGCAAGAACAGAUAGGAGAUAAACACUGGGUGCCCUGUACUAAUGAAAGCCUUGAUAAAAACAUUGCUAUACCAGCUUAAACAUGUUUUGUUUGUUUUUUCUUAUUAUAGCUCUUUGUGUUCUGUUGAGUUUGUUGAAGCUAAGCCAUAAGCAGUUACGAUGUCUGUCUACAAUGAGUGAUUUCCUGACUGAAGUGUAAUGACAAAGUUCAUUAAAUAUAGCUCUCAUCCCGGUGUGUACACAAAGCCGAAUGAAUGCAAUUAAGCUGUGUCAUGGGUGAAGCUUAAUUAUAACAACAGGUGAAAUCCUGCAGCCCGUUCUGCCUUUAAGAUGGUACAGCCAUGCUGUGCGACAAAUAAUCCAGCACUUUGCUCCAGCUGAGGUAUUUACCCAGUCGCCUUCUUUUCUCCACAAGAAACUUUUUAAGGUAGCUGUGCUGUUCAGUAUACGACCAGAAGCAGGAGGCAUCCAGUGGCAUGAAGUGCAGAGCUACAGGUUCCCCCUUGUGCGUCCUGCUGGCAGCAUGCUCUCCCCUCCCUGCCACAGCACAGCCCAACUUGCUGACCUUUGGUUUUGCACAGACAGGAGUUUAAUUGCUUAUGGAUGAGUCCCAGCUGGUUGCAUCUUUAAAUAGUUGCGAGUGCUUGACUGGAAAUAGUGUGGUUCAAAAAGGAAAAGUUCCUUAGCCAUCCAACAUGCUUGGCUGGCUGCGAUGGCAGCCGGGGCUGUGCGCCAGGGCUGCCAGGAAUGA